rnacentral:rRNA from 1 species
GAUGAACGCUGGCGGCGUGCCUAAUACAUGCAAGUCGAGCGAACAGACGAGGAGCUUGCUCCUCUGAUGUUAGCGGCGGACGGGUGAGUAACACGUGGAUAACCUACCUAUAAGACUGGGAUAACUUCGGGAAACCGGAGCUAAUACCGGAUAACAUGUUGAACCGCAUGGUUCAACAGUGAAAGACGGUCUUGCUGUCACUUAUAGAUGGAUCCGCGCCGCAUUAGCUAGUUGGUAAGGUAACGGCUUACCAAGGCAACGAUGCGUAGCCGACCUGAGAGGGUGAUCGGCCACACUGGAACUGAGACACGGUCCAGACUCCUACGGGAGGCAGCAGUAGGGAAUCUGCCGCAAUGGGCGAAAGCCUGACGGAGCAACGCCGCGUGAGUGAAGAAGGUCUUCGGAUCGUAAAACUCUGUUAUUAGGGAAGAACAAAUGUGUAAGUAACUAUGCACGUCUUGACGGUACCUAAUCAGAAAGCCACGGCUAACUACGU